rnacentral:rRNA from 1 species
GAUGAACGCUGGCGGCGUGCUUAACACAUGCAAGUCGAACGCAGUGUUUAUUCCAAGUUCUUCGGGAUAGAGAAUAAAUUUCUUAGUGGCGGACGGGUGAGUAGCGCGUGGGUAACCUGCCUCACACAGGGGGAUAACAGUUGGCAACGACUGCUAAUACCGCAUACGACCACAGCACCGCAUGGUGCAGGGGUAAAAGAUUUAUCGGUGUGAGAUGGACCUGCGUCUGAUUAGAUAGUUGGUGGGGUAGAAGCCUACCAAGUCAACGAUCAGUAGCCGACCUGAGAGGGUGAUCGGCCACAUUGGGACUGAGACACGGCCCAAACUCCUACGGGAGGCAGCAGUGGGGAAUAUUGGACAAUGGGGCAAACCCUGAUCCAGCAACGCCGCGUGAGUGAAGAAGUAUUUCGGUAUGUAAAGCUCUAUCAGCAGGGAAGAAUAUGACGGUACCUGACUAAGAAGCCCCGGCUAACUACGUG